rnacentral:rRNA from 1 species
GACGAACGCUGGCGGCGUGCUUAACACAUGCAAGUCGAACGGAGAGGCACCGGCUUUGUGGGGUGGAUGAGUGGCGAACGGGUGAGUAAUACGUGAGUAACCUGCCCUUGACUCUGGGAUAAGUUCAGGAAACUGGGGCUAAUACUGGAUAGUACAUCUUACUGCAUGGUGGGGGGUGGAAAGUGUUAGCGGGUGGGGGAGGGCCCCAGGGCUAACCGCUUGUUGGUGGGGUAGUGGCUUACCAAGGCUUUGACGGGUAGGCGGGCUGGGAGGGUGAACGGCCAAACUGGGGAUGAGAAAAGGCCCAGACCCCCACGGGGGGGAAGAGGGGGGGAAUAUGGAACAAGGGGGGGAGGCUGAUGCAGGGAAGCCGGCGGGCGGAAGAAGGGCUUUGGGUUGGAAACCUGCUUCAGCAGGGAAGAAGCCGCAAGUGACGGUAACUGGAGAAGAAGCGCCGGCUAACUACGUG